rnacentral:tRNA from 1 species
GGCUCAGUUGGUUCAGAGCAUUCCGAUUCCAUCGGAAGUGGUCGGGGGUUCGAACCCCUC